rnacentral:rRNA from 1 species
AGAUUGAACGCUGGCGGCAUGCCUUACACAUGCAAGUCGAACGGCAGCACGGGAGCAAUCCUGGUGGCGAGUGGCGAACGGGUGAGUAAUACAUCGGAACGUGCCCAAUCGUGGGGGAUAACGCAGCGAAAGCUGUGCUAAUACCGCAUAAGAUCUACGGAUGAAAGCAGGGGAUCGCAAGACCUUGCGCGAAUGGAGCGGCCGAUGGCAGAUUAGGUAGUUGGUGAGGUAAAGGCUCACCAAGCCUUCGAUCUGUAGCUGGUCUGAGAGGACGAUCAGUCACACUGGAACUGAGACACGGUCAGACUCUACGGGAGCAGCAGGUGGGGAAUAUUGGACAA